CCUGCCCCUAGAGGCCUUGCAGGUGUGGCUGCUGUGUCCCAUGUGGGUCAAUAGGUGGCAGAGAGGAGAAAGGCUAUGUCUUCGGUCUGUGUUCUGACCUAGGAACAUCUGAAUGAUUAGUAACCUAACAUC
rnacentral:snoRNA from 7 species